GCGUGGGUAACCUGGCCCAUACAGGGGGAUAACACUUAGAAAUAGGUGCUAAUACCGCAUAACAACAGAAAGCGCAUGCUUUUUGUUUGAAAACCAAGGUGGUGUGGGAUGGACCCGCGUCUGAUUAGCUGGUUGGCGGGGUAAAGGCCCACCAAGGCGACGAUCAGUAGCCGGCCUGAGAGGGUGGACGGCCACAUUGGGACUGAGACACGGCCCAAACUCCUACGGGAGGCAGCAGUGGGGAAUAUUGCACAAUGGGGGAAACCCUGAUGCAGCAACGCCGCGUGAGUGAAGAAGUAAUUCGUUAUGUAAAGCUCUAUCAGCAGGGAAGAAAAUGACGGUACCUGAGUAAGAAGCCCCGGCUAACUACGUGCCAGCAGCCGCGGUAAUACGUAGGGGGCAAGCGUUAUCCGGAUUUACUGGGUGUAAAGGGAGCGUAGACGGCAGUGCAAGUCUGGAGUGAAAGGCGGGGGCUCAACCCCCGGACUGCUCUGGGAACUGUACGGCUGGAGUGCAGGAGAGGUAAGUGGAAUUCCUAGUGUAGCGGUGAAAUGCGUAGAUAUUAGGAGGAACACCAGUGGCGAAGGCGGCUUACUGGACUGUAACUGACGUUGAGGCUCGAAAGCGUGGGGAGCAAACAGGAUUAGAUACCCUGGUAGUCCACGCCGUAAACGAUGAUCACUAGGUGU
rnacentral:rRNA from 1 species